AACUUCCCCUAGUAACGGCGAGUGAAGAGGGAAAAGCCCAGCACCGAAGCCUGCGGCAGAUUUGCUGUUAGGCAAUGUGGUGUUUGGGUCGGCUCGUGGGACUGCCACUCCACUCGAAGUCCAGCAUUGAGUAUGGUCACUGGAUUUGGCCCAGAGAGGGUGAAAGGCCCGUACGGGUGGAGGUUCAGACAUGUGAGGCGGUUCACCAGGUCGACCUUAGAGUCGGGUUGUUUGGGAAUGCAGCCCAAAGCGGGUGGUAAACUCCAUCCAAGGCUAAAUACAAGCACGAGUCCGAUAGCGAACAAGUACCGUGAGGGAAAGUUGAAAAGUACUCUGAAGAGAGAGUAAACAGUACGUGAAACCGCAUGCAGGUAAACGGGUGGCGUCAAGCUGCAAGCCCGGAGGAUUCAGCCGGUUAGGUUGUUGUGUAUGCGCCUGCCGCAUCUAUCAGUCGGAGUAUGAUGUGAUAGUCCACCGGUAAACGGUGGGCCCGGCCGCAAGGUUGGGAUAUGUGUACCGGGUGGGUGCCGGAGCAUGCUAUCCAUCUAGGGACUGUCUAGCCGGUGCACUUUCUCUGUGGUGAACACCACGACCGGUGGUAUUGCCAGUCUGCUGUGUCCAAGUCGUACUUGGUAGGUCCUUGUGGCCAACUGGGUGCGAUCACAGGCAAACUCAGUAAACGGCGUAGAGGUGCUUCGGUACCUUUGCGUGCUAUCGGCUACUGGUUGUCAACGGGCCUGCUCGAUGCUUUGUUUGUUGUAACCGGCAUCGGGUGGUCUGGUGGGGCAUGGUGGUAAGAAUAACUGUGCAAGGCACCGGAGUUAUCGGCCUCAAAUGCAUCCUGCGUCCAUGUUACAAGUGGUCUUUGGUGGCGGUGUCGUUGCUGUCUGCCCGGUGUUGGGUCUGAUUGUCGUGUCGCCUGCACAAAGUAGGCCCGGCAGUGGCUUGACUCGGGAUGGGCAGUGGAUGAUGUUGCUAGCGCAGGAUGUGGUGGGCCUAAUAGUCAGUGGUGUAGUGGUAGACGAGCUACCCGACCCGUCUUGAAACACGGACCAAGGAGUUUAACAUGUAUGCAAGUCAAUGGGCGUUACGAAACCCAAGGGCGCAGUGAAAGUGAAGCUUCGACUUGUCUCGGAGUAAGGUGAGAUCCUGCUGUUACUCGCAUCAGCCUAAUGUCAGCAUCAGGCUUAAGAGCAGUGGGCGCAUCACCGGCCCGUCCCAUGAUGUGGUCAUCGGAUGUCUGUGGUUGCUGUUGCCUUGUGUGGCGGUGGCCGCAGUGCCGGUGCGUCAUCGGGGCGGUGCAUGAGCAUACAUGUUGAGACCCGAAAGAUGGUGAACUAUGCUUGCGUAGGUUGAAGCCAGAGGAAACUCUGGUGGAGGACCGCAGCGAUUCUGACGUGCAAAUCGAUCGUCAAACGUGAGCAUAGGGGCGA
rnacentral:rRNA from 1 species